UAAGGUGUGAUCAUUAUUUUCCAGAGUUGUUCAUUCAAAGUCAGUAGUCACCUGUGGAAGUAUAUGCUUUACCAUUUGGGGAUAUUUUUGUCUGGAUUUUUCACUUCAUUGUGGAGUAGUUGGAUGAUUGGAAUUUCACAGUGUCAAAUCUUCAUUUAACCAUGCUGAACUCAGGGACAAAAAGGGUAACUCGUGCUGCAAGUUUUGUCCAACUGUCGUCGAUACUUGGCAGCUUAAGUAUCCUGUCCAGUGUGUGGACAACUGUGAUGGUCAAGAUGGACAAGUGGUGUUUGACUCUGAAUCAUUUCACAAUUAUUUCCAUUCCAUCAGUCAACCAAACAUUUCUAUUCGAUGCCUGGAGAAUCCAGAGGGUGAAGAUGGAAUAGUGGUGAUCGGCCGGGAAUCAUUUCCAAUGCUUUUUUCGCAUCUCUCAAGUGGAAAACCUUGAUAAAUAUGCAGAUGCUUAUUGUAUUUUUGUUGAGUAUUAUUGUUUUAACAAAUUUAUAUGUGAAUGAAUCAGUAUUUGUUUGUUUUUCAUUAAAAUAUUUUUAACAGCUUUUAAAUUUUGUAUUCGUUUGUUCACAACUGAGCUCAGCACAUACAGACAAAUAAUUUACUCAUAAACUUGCAAGAUGUUAACCCUACUUUAUGUCAAUAGUAAAAGAAUCCCCGGUGUUAUCAGUGGAUAUCAGGUCAUAGAUAUGGGCCAGAAGAGGUCUGCUGCGCCUACUGGUAGGCUCAGAAGGCUGUUAUCGUUGAUCCACAUGGUUAAUCCCCACACACAUGUAUGAAGGUGAAGUUACCACUGGAGCAGGGGCGAUCGUUUCUCAAUGCCAACAACUGCACAUGGACCAAAGACCAGCGAAAUAGUGCAUUAAAAGAUGGAUUUAGAUGACUUCAGGACACAUACAGGUACCGUCUCAUAAAAUACUCCAUGUUCCGUGUUUAUAAAUGAAGUUAUUAAUUUAAAAUUAGCCUAUGGUGGGAAAGGGAUCAUGUAAAAAGUCCACACAUUUACCGUAUUUUUACCAUAGUAACUGUCGCUCGACCAUGUCAUGUGUAGUCGAUGCACAGUAACCACAAAAUAUACCAUGCUUCUCCCACCGUACCCGUAGUUUUACUGUGAUAUUUGUAGUUAAAGCACAAUAACCUCGAUAUGUAUUAUGACUGAGUACCACAGUAACCGUAAUGUUACUGUGGUAUUUGUAGUUAAAGCACAAUAACUUGCAUAUUUACUAUGAGUUUACCUCAGUAACCGUAGUUUUACUGUGGUAUUUGUAGUUAAAGCACAAUAACCUUCGAUACUCUCUAUGAGUUUACCCCAGUAACCGUAGUUUUACUGUGGCAUUUGUAGUUAAAGCACAAUAACCUUGAUACGUACUAUGAGUUUACCUCAGUAACCGUAGUUUUACUGUGGCAUUUGUAGUUAAAGCACAAUAACCUCGAUACAUACUAUGAGUUUACCUCAGUAACCGUAGUUUUACUUUGGUAUUUGUAGUUAAAGCACAAUAACUUACAUAUUUAUUAUGAGUUUACCUCAGUAACUGUAGUUUUACUUUGGUAUUUGUAGUUAAAGCACAAUAACUUACAUAUUUACUAUGAGUUUACCUCAGUAACCGUAGUUUUACUGUGGUAUUUGUAGUUAAAGCACAAUAACCUCGAUACUUACUAUGAGUUUACCUCAGUAACCGUAGUUUUACUGUGGUAUUUGAAGUUAAAGCACAGUAACAACAAUACUUACCAUGUUUUUACCACAGUAACUGUUUUUACAGUAUACUAUUUGUAAAGCACAGUAACCACAAUGCUUUCCAUGACUUUAAUAUGUUUUUGUGAAGUAAUCGUAAUUCAAUAUUUUUUUGUCUUGCAGAACGUCAGAUCACAUACUCCAGCAGCUCUUUUAAGAAGCCAUCUCUUGUAAAGGCUCUCUCUCUCUCUCUCUCUCUCUCUCAGCUUUUCUUUUCCUAUUUUCCAAACUGUAAUCCGUAAUUCAUUUACACAUAUUUUGCUCGCUCUCUUUCUGUGGUUCAUCAUGGCAUAUUUUUAAAACAUAGCAUCAAAUUUUGACCAAUUCUUUCAGAAAGCUGCUGGAAUUAACAGGGAACUUGAACUCGAAGCUCUCAAUGCUGAUCUUGAAGAAGCUGCCAAGGAGGCUGAACAAGUCCUUCAAAGACCAAAGGAAGGCCUGUCAUGGGAUUUGAAUUUGGCCGUGUUGUGCGUUUACGGAGAAGACCAAAAGCUGCAAAGGAAAAAAUUUCCAAUGGUAUGUCUGUGUUGGUCUGAGCACCUUGACUAUUUGCACAGCAUUUGAUGUUUCUUUAACUUUGGUUUACAUACCCCACGGCCCCGUCAGGAAGAACCCUCAACAAAGUGUCAUGUUGAAGGAGUAAUAAUUCAUACAAUUUAGCAAAUCAGCAAAUUCAUAUGAUAUUGUACAAACCUACUCAUACAAAAUUCUACGACUUUUACUGCUGUCAUUGGCCUUUGCCUCAACUCUCAUGCAGAUUGUGCCCAUUGUAAGUAGUCAGAGUGUUUAAUUCUUUUUCUUCCUGUCUUGCAGGAUUUCUCACAGAUUACUUAGUCCUUCUCCAUCAGCUCUCCACAAUAUCAGCCCUUCCAAAAGCUUCCACAUCUCUCUCUCUCUCUCUCUCUCGUGUGGCACCUCUGCUCUCAGCCCUUCACUGCCAACUUCCAGUCUUAGCAUGUCUACUUGUUUUAAUUUCUACUUUACAGUCAACACUCCC